rnacentral:rRNA from 1 species
UUUACAAUGGAGAGUUUGAUCCUGGCUCAGGAUGAACGCUAGCGGCAGGCCUAAUACAUGCAAGUCGA